AUUGAACGCUGGCGGCAUGCUUUACACAUGCAAGUCGAACGGUAACAGGCCGCAAGGUGCUGACGAGUGGCGAACGGGUGAGUAAUGCAUCGGAACGUGCCCAGUCGUGGGGGAUAACUGCUCGAAAGAGCAGCUAAUACCGCAUACGAUCUAUGGAUGAAAGCGGGGGACCGUAAGGCCUCGCGCGAUUGGAGCGGCCGAUGUCAGAUUAGGUAGUUGGUGGGGUAAAGGCUCACCAAGCCAACGAUCUGUAGCUGGUCUGAGAGGACGACCCGCCACACUGGGACGGAGACACGGCCCAGAUGCCUACGGGAGGCAGCAGUGGGGAAGUUUGGACAAUGGGGGCAACCCUGAUCCAGCAAUGCCGCGUGUGUGAAGAAGGCCUUCGGGUUGUAAAGCACGUUUGUUCGGAAAGAAAUCGUCCUGGCUAAUACCUGGGGUGGAUGACGGUACCGGAAGAAUAAGCACCGGCUAACUACGUGCCAGCCGCCGCAGUAACAC
rnacentral:rRNA from 1 species